UACGAGAGGCCCAAACGUUAUUCGGAAUUACUGGGCUUAAAGAGUCCGUAGGCGGCAUGAAAAGUAGGGUGUGAAAGCCCUCGGCUCAACCGAGGAAUUGCGCUCUAAACUGUCGUGCUAGAGGAACCUAGAGGUGAGCAGAACUGAUGGUGGAGCGGUGAAAUGCGUUGAUAUCAUCAGGAAUACCGGAGGCGAAGGCGGCUCACUGGGGGUUUUCUGACGCUGAGGAACGAAAGCCAGGGGAGCGAACGGG
rnacentral:rRNA from 1 species